rnacentral:rRNA from 1 species
AUUGAACGCUGGCGGCAGGCCUAACACAUGCAAGUCGAGCGGAAACGAGUUGUCUGAACCUUCGGGGAAUGAUAACGGCGUCGAGCGGCGGACGGGUGAGUAAUGCCUAGGAAAUUGCCUUGAUGUGGGGGAUAACCAUUGGAAACGAUGGCUAAUACCGCAUAAUGCCUACGGGCCAAAGAGGGGGACCUUCGGGCCUCUCGCGUCAAGAUAUGCCUAGGUGGGAUUAGCUAGUUGGUGAGGUAAUGGCUCACCAAGGCGACGAUCCCUAGCUGGUCUGAGAGGAUGAUCAGCCACACUGGAACUGAGACACGGUCCAGACUCCUACGGGAGGCAGCAGUGGGGAAUAUUGCACAAUGGGCGCAAGCCUGAUGCAGCCAUGCCGCGUGUAUGAAGAAGGCCUUCGGGUUGUAAAGUACUUUCAGCAGUGAGGAAGGGGGUGUCGUUAAUAGCGGCAUCUCUUGACGUUAGCUGCAGAAGAAGCACCGGCUAACUCCGUGCCAGCAGCCGCGGUAAUACGGAGGGUGCGAGCGUUAAUCGGAAUUACUGGGCGUAAAGCGCAUGCAGGUGGUUUGUUAAGUCAGAUGUGAAAGCCCGGGGCUCAACCUCGGAACUGCAUUUGAAACUGGCAAACUAGAGUACUGUAGAGGGGGGUAGAAUUUCAGGUGUAGCGGUGAAAUGCGUAGAGAUCUGAAGGAAUACCAGUGGCGAAGGCGGCCCCCUGGACAGAUACUGACACUCAGAUGCGAAAGCGUGGGGAGCAAACAGG